rnacentral:lncRNA from 1 species
GUUGCAGGUUCCUUUCCUGGGGAGGCUGCGCGCCCAGGCACAGCCACUACUCCUGCUGCUGCUCUCAGAGGGCAGGCAGAGUGCAGAGCUCAGCAGGUCAACAUCCGGAUUCCAUGUUUUAGCAACGGGGCCCGGGGGUCAGCCCCUGGUGCCUGUGGCGGGUCUGUCGAGGUCCACUGCCCCUCAGAUGCUGCUGGGUCACCAGGACCUAGACUCACCCAGUCUUUGUUGCUGUUCAGUGAGCACAUGGCUGCCCCGCACCGCGAAUUAUGUCCCCCGAAAGAGGCAAAAGGCCACGUGAAGACAGAGACACCGGGAGAAGCCUGCGAAGGUGGAAGAUGAGAACGAUGCUUCUGCGAGCCCGGGAGCAGCUCGGACCACCAGAAGCUGCAGAGAGGCUUGGGCCACAUCCUUCCCUAGAGGCUCCAGGCGGAGCUUGGCCCUGCAGGCAUCUUGGUGUCAGACGUCUGGUCUCCAAAACGAAGUACCUGGACCUUCGGAUCGUAUCUGGCAAUUCCAGCUGCAGGCCACUGCAAGGGGGCAGGGCCCAUCUCCUUCCCCAGGCCCUGGGGGGCAAAAGCAGCC